AAUGCCUGUAGAAGCAUUGCAGGUCUAUGCUGUGUCACAUGUAUAUCAGUAGAUGGCAGAGAGGAAAGAGUCUAUACCUACCCUCAAUAUUCUGACCUAUGAAUGUCUGAAUGAUGAGUGUCUUAACAUU